UACGAAGGGUGCAAGCGUUAAUCGGAAUUACUGGGCGUAAAGCGCGCGUAGGUGGUUCAGUAAGUUGGAAGUGAAAUCCCCGGGCUCAACCUGGGAACUGCUUUCAAAACUGCUGAGCUAGAGUACGGUAGAGGGUGGUGGAAUUUCCUGUGUAGCGGUGAAAUGCGUAGACAUAGGAAGGAACACCAGUGGCGAAGGCGACCACCUGGACUGAUACUGACACUGAGGUGCGAAAGCGUGGGGAGCAAACAGG
rnacentral:rRNA from 1 species